GGGGAUGUAGCUCAGUGGUUGAGUACUUGCCUAGCAUGAAUAAGGCUCUGGGUUCAAUCCCUAGUACCACCA
rnacentral:tRNA from 1 species